CAACAAGGUAAUAGACACCCUCCUCUGUGCAGCUGGUCCUCGCUCUGCACCAUAAUGAACCGUCUGUCUGAACUGGGGGGUCUUUGGCUUCAGCCUCUGAGAUGCCCAAGUACCAUCUGGACUUCAGUGACAGCAGAUCAGAGGGAAGAACUGAUUUGUUAGUCAGUGUCUUCACACCUUUAAAUCCCUUCUCCAUCUCUCCAAACUGCUCUCAUUUUGGUAAUUAGUUAAGGCUUGUGGAAGCAUUCUGCCUUACAGAGAGAAGAUGAACCAGAAUGGAGACUCUGUAGUACAAGGAGUGAGAAGAUUGUUAAAUUUGAGAAAGCUAUCUUGGGUAAUAAUCCCAGUCAGCAGAUUACUUCCUUGAGGAAACUUGGAGCAUGAAAAUAAGAGCGGGCUACAAAAUGGAAAUUGUACUGUGUUUUUUCUAUGCCCCAUUAUGUUUCCUCAGACUUUUUCUUUUUUAAUCAUUAGUUUUUUCAUCCACAUAUUUAAAGCACCUGGAGUUUUGAAGUAAAACAUAUAGUAAAACAGAAUAGAUGAGUACUACUCUCUAUCUAAAAUGCACUCAGCAUUUCCACAGCAAGGUGCUGUUAAUUUUUUGCUCACAGUGUCUUUGGCUCAGAGAACCAGCAGUUACUGAUGUUUGCAGGAAAUCUCAAUGAA